rnacentral:rRNA from 5 species
CUUGACGACCAUAGAGCAUUGGAACCACCUGAUCCCAUCCCGAACUCAGCAGUGAAACGAUGCAUCGCCGAUGGUAGUGUGGGGUUUCCCCAUGUGAGAGUAGGUCAUCGUCAAGAUUAAAUUCCGAAACCCC